rnacentral:rRNA from 1 species
UAGCUGUCUUGCACACACAUCAUGGUAAAAUAUUCAUCAGUACAAAUAAUAUGCUGCUGACACUAAAGGACAAAAAGACCCUUUGAAGCUUUAUAGGGAUAAAACUCAGCUUUAAAUCAACAAACAAUGAAAUCCAUCUUGUUGCUUCUCCGCUUUUUAAAUUGCUAAAGCCUUACAAGAUUUACAACAUCAAGACCACUGUUUAAUUGGGGCGAUAACCUUAUCCACAGCCACCUAAGGUGAACAAAGCGAUACAAGGAUCCUAAAUACUAAUUUGACCAACUAAUAAGUGCAAAGAUACAUGUUUUGCUUAAUGGCCCAACAAGUCCUUCCCAGUACUUAAAUGCUAUCUUAAUGAGCUUUAAAUUAAUUUACCAG